UGUCAAUUAGCCGAAUGGUACGGCGACGAGCUUCAACCUCGAAGGUGCGGGUUCAAGUCCCGCAUUGAAUACCA
rnacentral:tRNA from 1 species